ACAUUGUUGUCUCCCGGUCUUUUCCAUUUGGAAGAUGAUGAUGCAUCACAGGAUUGUUAAGUCUGUUGUUUUGUAAUCCCAAUGUGUUAAAUGCUCAAUCAUUAUGCAGUGCACAGGUAGUAUAUACCAAUCGCUUCAGUUCCAGAUUAUGAUAUCUGUGCUCCCAGGCAACACUGACGACUCACAGUUUAAAGAAAGUGUGUGGUUUAGAGGGAGGAAGCUCAAGUUAGGGUGUCGAAGUGCCACCGUCCGUCCCCCCUUGGCUUUUGGUACUUGCAGCUUGUUGUAUUCAAGUAUCUAGCAAAAGGGACGCAUGCCCAAGGUUUCUUUCUUCCUCUGGUAGCCACUUCACGUAAGCGCAUGUGUUUGUUGGCAGCUCAACGACUGUAGCCCAUCAGAAAGGUUUGAUCCAAAGCGAGGUCAUCAUCAUCUUCUUGACAUGAUGGUGCAACUCAUUUUGGAAGGAGGACCGCAGAAGGAGGGCUUGCUGCUGUGUCACUGUCUUCCCUUAAACUGAUAAAAGAAGCCAAAAUCCAACAGCGAGGAGUCGAGUAAGAUCUGAAGCUCAAGGCUGAGGAGUGAGAGAUGGAAUCCCCUCCCUCUGAGCCGCCACCCUCGCCGCCCGCUGUCGAUCUCUCCCUCACCCUCGCCGCGGCCUCGUCGUCGCCGCCGUCCUCCGGCCACGACGCGAGGGACGUCAGACUCUUUCCCUGCCUCUUCUGCAACAGGAAGUUCCUCAAGUCUCAGGCCCUCGGCGGACACCAGAAUGCCCACAAGAAAGAGCGAGGUAGUAGCUGGAAUCCCCACCUCUAUCUCCCACCACCACCACCACCACCUCCACCUACCACACACUCCUUUCCCAUCGCUUCCCACUCAUGCAAGCCUGUCCUCCACCGUUCCGGCGACUGCGGAGCCCCUCGCCUGCUGGCUGACCGGCCCUUCCUCAUCCUCAACUGGCAGAGGGCUUCACACCCCCAUCAGGCACUCUCACCAGACCUCGGUUCCGUCAAUUCCAUUGCUGCUGCUGCUGCUCCACUUCCAUCCCCCGGUGACGACAGGACCAUUAUCGAUCUCUCCUUGAGGCUCUAAGUCUCAGCAGAAUGUGUUUGCUGCAGAGUAGUUCGAUUUUUCUUCCUUCUUUCUUUCAAUCUCUUCCCGAUAGCUCUGCGGCCGCCCGCAGUCCGCGGGUUGCAUGGUGGAGCAUUCCGUGCAUGACAUGGCUACAGGCAUUUGUAUUUGGCGGGUGGUGGGAUGUCGAUAUAACGUGGAGGUGUACGUUUUGUAGGAGACGUUACAUCAUGUUCCCUCCCACUCGAAGUUAUUUGAUCAUCAUCCUUUUUCCGAAUAGUUCAGCCCAUCAAUCGGCCUGCAAGAUUCGUGUGGAUGUAUACGAGCAGAUGUGUCUCUCAGCUUUCAUUCGACUAUUGAAGAAAGAAGAAAGUCCUUACGUAACUUCAUUUAGGAAUCUCAUGGUGAUCGCCGGAAUCUACUUCAGGUAGGAAGCUGAUAUCCGGAAAUAAAUCUGACCCCAAUGAGAGGCUGAUAUGACUCCCAAACUAAGGAUCGACAUUCCCUCAAGAGAACUUCCGACAGUCCCAACAGUUGAACUCUCACAACACGACACCAUACCUUCUCUCUCUCUCUCUCUCUCUAACUUUGGACUUAUUGAGGUGAGUUUUGAUGUGAGUGUCGGAGAAGGAUCUCGUCAAACACAUUUCGUCAUUUCACCCUCGCGGAUCGUUUUUGAGACAAUCUACCUUCCUUCUGUGGGAAAAUGGAUCAAAUCGAGCCUUGUCUCGCACUUUGGACAGAAGACCUCAAGCAGACCCGAAAUAUUUUGCUGUAUCAGUUCAUGAAGUCGACUUAGUUCUCCGGGACAGCCCAUCUUCCACUCUGUCAGUUCUUAGUGGCCCCAAAAGAAAGAAAGAGAUAGAGAGAGAGAGAGAGAGAGAGAGAGAGAGAGAGAGAGAUGGCUAUCAUGAUGCUUCUUUAGUUACCUACAAGACUUGGAGAAGGAACACAUGGGAACAGGAGUUUUGAUCUCCUGUGCAAGCUAAGGUGUAUACAUUGGAGGAGUCGCAUCAGCGCAGUAAAAAGAAAGGAAGCUUCGGAUGUGGUGGCUGUGGAUGAUAUCUUAAUUA